rnacentral:lncRNA from 1 species
UUUUUUUUUCCUUUUUUUCUCUUUUUCUCUUUUUUUAUUUUUUUAUUUGGCAUUUCUCUUUUUUUAGCCUUUCUCUUUUUUUGGGACAAUGCUCUAUUAAUGAUGAUCAUCACACUUCUAUUUAUUUACAAUUCAAUGAUUACAACUCGAUACUAGAAAAAAAUAUGACUCUAUUAUGAGUGCCUCCGGCGGUGUACCGGGAUGAGCAACGAAUCAAGAGUGACAUGUAUGAUAAAAUAUGCAUGGUGGCUUUGCCACAAAUACGAUGUCAACUACAUGAUCAUGCAAGGCAAUAUGACAAUGAUGAAGCGUGUCAUAAUAAAUGGAAUGGUGGAAAGUUGCAUGGCAAUAUAUCUCGAAAUGGCUAUGGAAAUGCCAUAAUAGGUAGGUAUGGUGGCUGUUUUGAGGAAGAUAUAAGGAGGUUUAUGUGUGAUAGAGCGUAUCGUAUCACGGGGUUUGGAUGCACUGGCAAAGUUUGCACCAACUCUCGAGGUGAGAAAGGGCAAUGCAUGGUACCGAAGAGGCUAGCAAUGAUGGAAGGGUGAGAGUGCGUAUAAUACAUGGACUCAACAUUAGUCAUAAAGAACUCACAUACUUAUUGCAAAAAUCUGCAAGUCAUCAAAAACAAAGUACUACACGCAUGCCCCUAGGGGAAGGGUUGGUAGGAGUUAACCAUCGCGCGAUCCCGACCUCCACACAAAGGAUGACAAUCAAAGAAAUACCUCAUGCUUUAAAUUUGUCACGCAACGUUUACCAUACGUGCAUGCUACGGGACUUGCAAACUUCAAAACAAGUAUUUCUCAAAUUCACAAUUACUCAACUAGCACAACUCUAAUAUUACCAUCUUCAUAUCUCAAAACAAUCAUCAAGUAUCAAACUUCUCAUAGUAUUCAAUGCACUCUAUAUGGAAGUUUUUGUUAUACCCAUCUUGGAUGCCAUCAUAUUAGGACUAGUUUUAUAGCCAAAGCAAAUUACCAUGCUGUUUAAGACUCUCAAAAUAUUAUAAGUGAAGCAUGAGAGUUCAUCUAUUUCUUCAAAAAUAAAACUACCAUAGUGCUCUAAAAAGAUAUAAGUGAAGCACUAGAGCAAACGACAAACUACUCAAAAAGAUAUAAGUGAAGAUCAAUGAGUAGUUGAAUAAUUAUGUAACUAUGUGAAGACUCUCUCUCCUUUAAGAAUUUCAGAUCUUGGGAUAUUAUUCAAACAGCAAUCAAAACAAAAUAAAACGACAUUUCAAGGAUAGCACUCAUCAUGUGAAGAAGCAAAAACUUAGGCUCAACCGAUACUAACCGAUAAUUGUUGAAGAAGAAAGGUGGGAUGCCUACCGGGGCAUCCCCAAGCUUAGAUGUUUGAGACUUCUCGAAAUAUUAUCUUGGGGUGCCUUGGGCAUCCCCAAGCUUGAGCUUUUGUGUCUCCUUAAUUCCUCUCAUAUCACGGUUUCCUUAAUCUCGAAAGCUUCAUCCACACCAAACUCAACAAGAACUCGUGAGAUAAGUUAGUAUAAACCAAUGCAAAAACCUUAUCAUUUUCUACUGUAACAAAUCACUAAAAUUAUUAUUCAACAUUGCAUACUAAAUGCCUCUGCAUAUUUAAUACUCCUAUCCUCAAAUAGAAUCAUUAAAUAAGCAAACAUAUGCAAACAAUGCAAACAUAACAGCAAUCUGCCAAAACAGUACAGUCUGUAAAGAAUGCAAGAUUCAUCAUACUUACCUAACUCCAAACAUUAUGAAAUUCUUCCACACUGUAGAAAAUUUAUCAGAGCUUAAAAAGUUUCAACAUUUUAUCAUAUUCUGGCUUUUCUAGGGAAUUUUUGCAAUAGCGAUAAACUUUCUGUUUUGAAACAGCAACAUGUAUACUUGCAAAAUAAGCAUGGGAAAGGCUAUCCUUCACAUUUUUAUUGAAAAUAAAGAUGCAAAACAUUAUUAUAAAUAACAUCAAACAAAUACUAACAAAAUAAAAUGACGCUCCAAGCAAAACACAUAUCAUGUGGUGAAUAAAAAUAUAGCUCCAAGUAAAGUUACCGAUGAACGAAGACGAAAGAGGGGAUGCCUUCCGGGGCAUCCCCAAGCUUAGGCUCUUGAUUGUCCUUAAAUAUUACCUUGGGGUGCCUUGGGAAUCCCCAAGCUUAGGCUCUUGCCACUCCUUAUUCCAUAGUCCAUCGAAUCUUUACCCAAAACUUGAAAACUUCACAACACAAAACUCAACAGAAAACUCGUAAGCUCCGUUAGUAUAAGAAGAUAAAACCACCACUUAGGUACUGUUGUGAACUCAUUCUAAAUUCAUAUUGGUGUCAUAUCUACUGUAUUCCAACUUUUCUAUGGUUCAUACCCUCUGAUACUACUCAUAGAUUCAUCAAAAUAAGCAAACAACACAUAGAAAACAGAAUCUGUCAAAAACAGAACAGUCUGUAGCAAUCUGUAACUUUCGAAUCCUUCUGUAACUUCAAAAAUCCUGAGAAAUUAGGAAAUCCUAAGCAAUUUGUUUAUUAAUCUUCUUAAAAAAGAAUCAACUGAAACGCACGUUCUUGUGAUUUAUGAAAAUUAUUUUCAUGCGCGCAAAAGUUUCUGUUUUUCAGCAAGAUCAAAUUAACUAUCACCGUAAGCUAUCCUAAAGGUCUUACUUGGCACUUUAUUGAAACAAAAGCUAUAAAACAUUAUUACUACAGUAGCAUAAUCAUGUGAACACAAAAAAACAGUAAAGUUAAAUAUUGGUUUGUCUCCCAACAAGCGCUUUUCUUUAUUGCCUUUUUACCUAGGCAUGAUGAUUUCAAUGAUGCUCACACAAAAGAUAAGAAUUGAAACGUAAAGAGAGCAUCAUGAAGAAUAUGACAAGCACAUUUAAGUCUAACCCACUUCCUAUGCAUAGGGAUUUUGUGAGCAAACAACUUAUGGGAACAAUAAUCAACUAGCAUAGGAAGGCAAAACAAGCAUAACUUUAAAACUUUAAGCACAUAGAGAGGAAACUUGAUAUUAUUGCAAUUCCUACAAGCAUAUAUUCCUCCCUCAUAAUAAUUUUCAGUAGCAUCACGAAUGAAUUCAAAAAUAUAACUAUCACAUAAAGCAUUCUUUUCAUGAUCUACUUGCAUAGAAAUUUUACUACUCUCCACAUAAGCAAAUUUAUUCUCAUCAAUAGUAGUGGGAGCAAACUCAACAAAAUAACUAUCAUGUGAAGCAUAAUCCAAUUGAAAAUUAAAAUCAAGAUGACAAGUUUCAUGGUUAUCAUUAUUCUUUAUUGCAUACGUGUCAUCACAAUAAUCAUCAUAGAUAGGAGGCAUGCUUUCAUCAUAAUAAAUUUGCACAUCAAAACUUGGGGGACUAAAAAUAUCAUCUUCAUCAAACAUAGCAUCCCCAAGCUUGUGGCUUUGCAUAUCAUUAGCAUCAUGGAUAUUCAAAGAAUUCAUACUAACAACAUUGCAAUCAUGCUCAUCAUUCAAAUAUUUAGUGCCAAAUAUUCUAAUGCAUUCUUCCUCUAGCAAUUGAGCACAAUUAUCGGAAUCCUUAUUUUCACGGAAGACAUUAAAGAGAUGAAGCAUAUGAGGCACCCUCAAUUCCAUUUUUUUGUAAUUUUCAUUAAUAGACCAAACUAGUGAUAAAACAAGAAACUAAAAGAUUCGAUCGCAAGAUCUAAAGAUAUACCUUCAAGCGCUCACCUCCCCGGCAACGGCGCCAGAAAAGAGCUUGAUGUCUACUACACAACCUUCUUCUUGUAGACGUUGUUGGGCCUCCAAGUGCAGAGGUUUGUAGGACAGUAGCAAAUUUCCCUCAAGUGGAUGACCUAAGGUUUAUCAAUCCGUGGGAGGCGUAGGAUGAAGAUAGUCUCUCUCAAGCAACCCUGCAACCAAAUAACAAAGAGUCUCUUGUGUCCCCAACACACCCAAUACAAUGGGAAAUUGUAUAGGUGCACUAGUUCGGCGAAGAGAUGGUGAUACAAGUACAAUAUGGAUGGUAUAUAUAGCAUUUUGUAAUCUGAAAAUAUAAAAACAGAAAGGUAACUAAUGGUAAAAGUGAGCGUAAACGGUAUUGCAAUGCUAGGAAAUAAGGCCUAGGGUUCAUACUUUCACUAGUGCAAGUUCUCUCAACAAUAAUAACAUAAUUGGAUCAUAUAACUAUCCCCUCAACAUGCAACAAAGAGUCACUCCAAAGUCACUAAUAGCGGAGAACAAACGAAGAGAUUAUUGUAGGGUACGAAACCACCUCGAAGUUAUUCUUUCUGAUCGAUCUAUUCAAGAGUCCGUAGUAAAAUAACACAAAGCUAUUCUUUCUGUUCGAUAUAUCCUAGAGUUCGUACUAGAAUAACACCUUAAGAAAUCAACCAAAACCCUAAUGUCACCUAGAUACUCCAAUGUCAUCUCAAGUAUCCGUGGGUAUGAUUAUACGAUAUGCAUCACACAAUCUCAGAUUCAUCUAUUCAACCAACACAAAGAACUUUAAAGAGUGCCCCAAAGUUUCUACCAGAGAGUCAAGACGAAAACGUGUGCCAACCCCUAUGCAUAAGUUCACAAGGUCACUGAACCCACAAGUUGAUCACCAAAACAUACAUCAAGUAGAUCACGUGAAUAUCCCACUGUCACCACAGAUAAACACAUGCAAGACAUACAUCAAGUGUUCUCAAAUCCGUAAAGACUCAAUCCGAUAAGAUAACUUCAAAGGGAAAAUUCAAUCCAUUACAAGAGAGCAGAGGGGGAGAAACAUCAUAAGAUCCAACUAUAGUAGCAAAGCUCGCGGUACAUCAAGAUCGUGCCAAAUCAAGAACACGAGAGAGAGAGAUCAAACACAUAGCUACUGGUACAUACCCUCAGCCCCGAGGGUGAACUACUCCCUCCUCGUCAUGGAGAGCGCCGGGAUGAUGAAGAUGGCCACCGGUGAGGGAUCCCCCCUCCGGCAGGGUGCCGGAACAGGGUCCCGAUUGGUUUUUGCUGGCUACAGAGGCUUGCGGCGGCGGAACUCCCGAUCUAGGUUAUUUUUUGGAGGUUUAUGUAUUUAUAGGAAUUUUUGGCAUAGGUCUCAUGUCAGGGGGGUCUCCGAGUCGUCCACGAGGCAGGGGCCCACGCCCAGGGGGGUAGGGCGCACCCUCCACCCUCGUGGACAGCUCGGGACUCUUCUGGCCCAACUCUUUUACUUCGGGGGCUUCUUUUGGUCCAUAAAAAAUCAUCAAAAAUUGGCACGUCAAUUGGACUCCGUUUGGGAUUCCUUUUUUGUAAAACUCAAAAACAAGGAAAAAACAGAAACUGGCACUGGGCUCUAGGUUAAUAGGUUAGUCCCAAAAAUCAUAUAAAAUAGCAUAUAAAUGCAUAUAAAACAUCUAAUAUGGAUAAUAUAAUAGCAUGGAACAAUCAAAACUUAUAGAUACGUUGGAGACGUAUCGAGUAGCGUUUGGUCGGCUCAAAGCAAGUAUGUCACCAUCCUGAGUACAUGCGCCAGCCCAAGUCUUAGGACAUAGAACGUAUGUUGUACUACAGACACACAAAUGACCUAUCACUGUGCCUCAUAGAAUGUAUGUCUGUCUGACUCAGACCUUAUCUCGACUCGGAUCCGACUAUGUCGAAUCCGACCAGAUCCUUCUGAUUCCAUAUUAUCCGGCUAGCAUCCAAUGCUCCAUGGCCAGUGAGACCGAGCCAUCCACCGUGUCAUAUGCUAGUCUAGUUGGUUGCGCGUCCACAUAGCCCUCUCGACUAGGGAACUUUUAGGACAGUCAUCAUACAAUGCAUAAUUGCACAAACAAGUCACGCACUUGUUGACACACAUCAUUGAUAAUGUCCAAGGACUAUCUUUAUUCAUAAACACAUAAAAAAUAUCAUCAUACAUGAUUGACUCUAGGGCAUAUCUCCAACAUAGUGAAGGAUGACGACUGACAUAGCGCCCUUCGCUGGGUCAGGAAUCAGCGUCUUCAACUCCUUUGGUGUCACCUUCUUCACCACAGCAUCCGACUCUUUCUGCAUGUCUGCCAUGCUGUUGAAGUUCGAGCAGACUUCCAUCGUGUUCUCGAACUUGGUGCGGUCACCGAGCGAGCACCCUAGGAAGAAAGGUGAGCGAGCACCUGAGGAAGAAAGCCCUCCAUCCAAUGCCCCAAGGGAAGGGGUUGGGGAUGAGGUUGGAGCUGUUGCUGGAGUUCAUGGCGAUGGAUAGGAGGAACAGUGAGAGACAGAGAGACAACUGAGUGAGAUGGUGGGUAAGUGGUGACUGUGAGGAUGGGUAAAUAAAGGGGUUAAGGAUGAUAGGUUUUAAUGGCGAUUGACAUGGGAACUUUCUGCUCUUCGUAAUGCAGAUCGACAUAGAGAACAAGGGCAAGGAUGUGGUUGUCGGCGUUCUGGGAACGGGGGUCCCUAGACUUGCCUGCCUGCGGCCCGCGGCGUGGCUCCACUAGGAGCCUGGUACGACCCAUCUUCACCAGCAAGCACUCAAGACCCUCGCGAGGGGCCAAGCCUCGCGAGGCGGGUGACACAAGACCUCCUCAGGGGUAGCCUCACUAGGCUGGCUUGCGAGGAGCAGAGAGACCAAGGUGAGGGGCACCUCAUGAGGUUCCCGUGACGUGAGCCAUGACGACCAAGGCCAGGCGGGCGCCAGUGGGCGCAGAGUACUAGUUUCCUCUUUGGUGCUAAAGGAGCAGGUGCAAGCGAGGAGUCCCGAGGCGUCAGGCAAAGGUUUCCAUAUCGGUGCAACGAGACCAAGACGAGCAGGACGGAAGUGUCGGGGAUAUACCCCGCGGUAUGACCCGGCCGGAGAUAUGACCCGGCCGGGAAUUGGUGUUUCAUUGGUAAGCCGGCAGAUGAUAAGUCAGACGGUAACCCGGCAGAUGAUAAGCCAGAUGAUAAGUCAGAUGGUAACCCGACAGAUGUUAAGUCAGAUGAUAAGCCAGAUGAUAAGUCAGAUGGUAACCCGACAGAUGUUAAGUCAGAUGAUAAGCCAGAUGAUAAGUCAGAUGGUAACCCGGUAGAUGUUAAGUUAGAUCAUAAGCCGGCAGAUGAUAACCCAGAUGAUAAGUCAGAUGGUAACCCGACAGAUGUUAAGUCAGAUGGUAAACCGGCAGACAGUCAUAACCCAGCAGACAGAGUCGCCUGGGGUUAAUAAGCCCGAGACGUUAAGAAGCCCAUGAUGUUAAGAAGCCCAUGAAGAGAAGUCAGAAUAGUUUAAGUCUUAGUCCGAGAUGGACUCCACAUCUAACCCGCCCCUUCAACUUAUAUAAGGAGGGGUAGGGCACCCCAAGAGGGGAGAGGAAUAAUCUUAAAGCUAGACAUAACUAGGAGAGCCGGUUUACGACGACUCCCUCGUGAUGAUAAUGAGACCUAGCCAGAAACAGCAUGUAGGGUUGUUACCGGAUGAUGUUUCUCGGGGCCCGAAGCUGUCUAAACCCUUGUCUUGUGUGUUGAUCCAUCUCGCGUCUCUCAUCCCGAUCAACCCCUCUCAAGCUACCACAUAGAUGCGUUGGCCUCAUGACUAAGUCCUCACACUAGGACAUCUACCAUGACAAUCCCAUGACAGUUGGCGCCCACCGUGGGGCUCGGUGGUGUUGAGUUUUUGGAGGGAUCUUCCCUAAGGUGUCGAGAAGCUCGUGAUUUGUCAGAUGUAGAAGAGCUGGCAAAAGUCAUUGUUUGUGAUCGAAAUUGUGAUUAGCUUUGGAGCUGAUAGUACAAGGAUCAAAAGAAAUUAAGGCGGCAUGGAAUACGGCGCCGCCGCUGCCACAGGUCGAAGACGUGCACGAGACCAAUCGGCACAAGGAUCAUAUCAGGCAGGCCGACAAGAAGAAAUUUCGCAGCAUAAUGUGUGUUUGGCGAGCAUUCAAAUCAUCGAGUCAAGGUCGCCGAGUCAAGGCUGCCAAAAAAAUUCCGCUGCAGUAUCAACUUGUACGGUGGUCGUAUCCGACUGCUACUGCAUCUCCCCUGGUCCAAUGAUUAAGUCCCGAGGCCGCGAGAGGCUCAAUCGGCCAAGGUACCAUGUUUGUGUUGUUUCUCUCCAUGUCAUUUAGUAAUCGAUAGCAAAAGCAGAGAGCCACGGCACGCAGUGCCUUCUGCAUGCAAGGACGGAAGUUCAUACAUUGUUUGAAAAAAGAGAGGGGUCAUCCAGGGGCCAUGACCCGGAAACGAAGAGGGCAGCGACCCGGACUCCUCCACGGUCUGUGCCUCGCCUCUGCCCAGGAUUCGAGCUGUUUGCUGUUUCUGUCUGGAGCCGCCGACGCGCCUCUGCCGCGUCGUCCGUCAACGAGCCGCCACUGGCGCGCCUCCGCCUUUGUGACCCUGUUUAAAGCCGUUGAUCCACCGCCAAGUCGCUGUGGCCUGGCCUCACUGACUUUGCAAGCCGGCUUGGACGAGCCCGGCCACAGCUCUCACCAUCUCCGUCUCAUUAUCGGAACGGGCCACGAGUCACUUCCAAGACAACCCUGCGCAAACUCAGCCCUCGAGCCACCUCUGCAUCAAGUUGUCCUGACUAAGUCGCCGAGACCGACGAGCCUCCACUUCCCCUUCUGCGGCGAGUCGUACUCUGUCGCGCCAAGCCGGUUUACACCGCCGCCUCAAUAGGCUGCCCCGUGCGCCGCGGCCCUGUUGCCUCCGGGCCAGUCCUCAAGCUGUUGUGGCCUCCACUGCUGCGCCCGAAAGGUGUUCCGCCGAGCCGCCGGCGUCUCGUCUGGCCGCUACCAACAGCGCCUUCUCAACCCGCCUCCUCGCGUCGGAUUUCUGUCUCGCUGGUGAACCGCCGGCCGCCUCCGUUGGAGUUGAUGGAACCACCGCUUUGCCUACUCGCUCCGCUAGAUUGGCCUGGGGCAACGGCAGCCAUGCACUCGCCUGUGACUCACCUCGCCGGUUCGCUUCUUCUGUCGCCAACCACCAAGCCGCCGUUGCCACCGGCUGCAAUCGUGCUUAAACCACCAAGCUGCCGUCGCCGCCGGCUGUAGUCGUGCUUAAACCGCCUCUGCUGUCUUAAACCGCCACGUCCCCGAGCGGCUUCAACUACUCCAUCGGGUCGAGCCGCUGCGAGUCGCCGACUGCCUCGGAGUUUGCCCGCGCCGUCCAUGGUCGCGGAGAGCCGCCGCUAUGGAGCCGCCCGGCGCUUCACGCCUCCGCUGGCGGGUCAACGGCUGCACCCCGAGCCACCACGUUCGUCUUUGAACUUCCACUCGGAGUAACCCACCUUGCCACUCCUCCAUGAGUCGCCCCGUUUUAGCGCUCCUCGGCGCCGCCUCCGUCAACCCGCCGGUUCACCUCGCCUCUAGAUCGCGGUUUUGAUUCGCCAUGGCCUCGUCGUCGCCUCCAUUGCCGAGCACCCGCACCUCUACUCUAAACCGCUGCUACCUUAUAGCACACCGAGCGCCGUUUCACUGCGCCUCGCGUUGUGCUGAGCCGUUGUGCUGUUUCAAACCGCUGGCCACCUCCGCUGCUCAUCCCCGCCGCUGUGGCUUUAAGACGGCAUGGCCGAGUCACCACCUGGCCCGUGUUUUUCCUCCUCGAGCUGCCCCGACGGUGUGAUUCAUCGCCUCCAUUUUAAGCCACCGCCGGUUUCUGCCUCUGCGGUCUCAACCCGUUGUUUCUGCAGCCUGCCUGGUCGGUCUUGCCAUUUCUUAUGCAGCGCCUCAAGUCGCCAGCACAUCCAAAUUGCCGUGAGCCGAGCCGGCUGUCACGCGACAUCACCUCGCCUCCGCUUUAAGCCUUCUGCCGGGUCACCACGACUGUGGCCUCGCCGUCGCCGUGGCCCGCCAAGCCGCCAUGGCCCCCGACAGUUUCAAGUCGCCGUUGGUGUUGCCUGCUCUCCGAUCCCUAUGACCGCCUAGGCGUCCUUGCAAGUCAGCGAUGCAAGCUGCCCUGAGCCUGCAUGUUUUCUGGCCCUGGCCCCGCCUUGUUUCUGCCUUGUCUACAAGUGGUACAGGGAGGCGUAUUUUGGGUAUGGGAUACAGAGGGCAAAAGAAAUAAGUCAAUGGACGGGCUGGCUAGGCAGAGGCCUGAGGGGAUAAAGCGCAACUGCAUUGAAAAGUUAUCUACGGAUGCUAAUUACGGUUUAUCGAUCGUCCAAACAAAACAGGUGAUAUUUAUCUAAAUUUAUCUUAUUAGUAUAUAUUGUUUUUGUUAAAGAACAAUUACUUGGUCUAUGAUAUUUUUUUGUAGGACCAUUAUUCAUUACAAAUGUGUCGCGAAGGGGUGUGCGCCAAUAUUAUUUUUGCACUAGUGCGUUCGUGCUGUACUGAUGGAUGGGUACAUGCACAAGUUGCUGCCCCUGCUACAAUAUGAUGCGGCUAACUUGCCCGUCCGCACGGUUUACCCCGCCACUUCACCGUGGUGAUCAUCGACUCCGCGGUGGAUAAUCUCUGGCCUGACAUAUCAGGUGAAGUCCAUCCAGUAUAUUUUAUAUUACAUAUUGCUUUCUUUAAAAGAGAAAUUACUCUGCUUGCGAGUUCUUUAAUGUAGGACAAGUUGUCUACUGAAAAAGGGAUUAUUAUAUCAAUGAGCUGUUGAAUGACUCAUACCGGUUUAUGUCACGGUCAAAUACGAAGAAUCUCAAGCCAACUCCUCGAGUCGCCUUGAGACUUGGGGGCUACGAUGACAUGACUCAGUAAAUGACUGACAGUUUAAAGCAAGUCAAGAACUCCGGGUCAGUGGAGGGAAGAUAACCCGGUCCCGGAGGCUGCUGUUAUAUUGAUGAAAAUUUAAAGGUUGUCAGAAAAUUUCCGGCUCAAAAUGAAGAUUCCGGUUUAAAUCCGGUUCAAGGGAAAUCUGUCUCCCGCAAAGCUUUGAAGCUCUCAAUAUCCGGUUUAAAACUCUGGUUGAAAAAAGAAAUUCAGCUCUCGCAAGUUCGAGUUCUCAGAAAAGUUGAAGGUUGCCAAAGAGAACUUGCUGCCAUGAUGCGCGAUUCAAACAUGGGUAUCCUGCCUUAUGGGCUUAUCUUAUUAUGGUCACUUGGGGGGCUUCCUGCUCAUUGAGCGAAGCUAUGAUUACCCUUUGAUCAGGCUUAUACGCCAUUCUUACAAAAACACUUGGGGGCUUGCUACCCAGGUUAAAGGGACCAAAGAGAGUCUGUUGCAAAAGCACAACUCAAACAUAGGUGCCCAUUGAGCACAACUCAAAAAUAUUGCUUGGGGGCUCUUUGUUCUAAAGGACAAAGAGUUUUUAUGACCCUUGUAAUAGGCUUAAAAGCCAAGCUUGGAAGCCAGGUGUAUUCACCUAAAACCCCGGGUUAUCCUGCCUUUUUAAGUCUGCCACUCCGCCCAGGUAAUCCUGGAAUGACCCGCCGUACGUUUGACAAGUCAAUCUUAUGCAGACCCUGAACUUAUCAAAGUUAAAACGAUGAUUGGUUAUGUGUGGUCCGUCUUAUAAGGUUUGUAUAAAGGUUUAACUUAGUGGCUGUGCAGCCCGUGAAAGCACUUGAGAUUUAGGCUUGGCGGCUUAUGAAAGCCUUGUUUUUUCUGAUUUAUUAUUCCUAUUUGAACAUUUUUGGGUUCAUCUUUGUACCAUAUUGACAUAUGGUUUUCACAAUUCAGGUCAUGUAGCCUUGAUCUUUAUGAAUCAUAUUUGAGCAUAUUUGGGGUUUUGAUAACCCGUCCUGAUAAAGGGCGUUAAGUUGCCAGGAUAUAUUUGCCUUGAGUAAUCAAAAUCAUGCUAUUGCAUGCCUACGGGUCAAUACCCUCGACGAAUUAUAUUAUUCAAAUCUUAAAUAGCCAACAUGGCUGGAUUUUUAUUAUGGUUAUCAAUAAUCAAUAUUAUGAUUGAGGUUUUCAAAGUCGCUUUAGCGUAAUGGCUAUUAUUUCUUUAUCAAUGGAUAUGAUUUAUUCUGUAAUGGAAGGAGUAGUCCCGAGUCGUUGCAGGCUUACGACCCGGCACUUGGGGGCUAAAUUAUUCAAAUCAUGAUCAUACCAAAUAUGGAAGUCCCAUGUCACUGCAAGCAUGCACCAUGACACUUGGGGGCUAAUGCAAGGUCAUUUGUUUUACUUGCCUUAUUGAAGAUCCGACUCAUCACUUUGUAAUGAGCCAGACCUUGGGGGCUACCAAUUGCUCCUGUUAAAAAUUCAAGGUACACAAGCCUUAUUCCGUUAUAUUGAAGGGUCCACUGCUCAAUUGGUAAAGCACAAAGCUCUUAACCUUGUGGACGUGGGUUCAAGCCCCAUGAUGGGGGCUACACGUUGUUGUUCAAGUCUACAUGAUCAUAUCUAUAAAGUCCCUGCUCCUUAUUGCAUAAUGACCCGGCCCUUGGGGGCUACACUGGUUCAAGUUUUUAUGAGCAUAAGACAAUUACAAGUCCCAGGUUGUUGCAAGCAUGACAACCCGGCACUUGGGGGCUACAUAUGUGGAAUACUCAGUUUAUGACUAAUGAUUGAGAUGAACAACCUGGAUUUCUUCAAGCUUGUGACAUUCAUGUUGAAGCAAGUCUUAAGCUGUUACUACGUUCCCUUCUUAAGACUUGGGGGCCACAAGUGAUAUACAUAUAAGGGAGGUACGCUUUCAAAGCUGAUGUUAACAAACAAUUAUGACCCGGUGCCAUCAAUAUUUAUAAACCGGCAAUUUUGGCAAUGAUAAACCGGCAAGUUUUACAUCUUUAAGCCGGCUGAAAAUCAGAUGAGUAUUUCAAGACUAACAUUUUUUGUUAAGCAUCGGGAGCUGAAUCAAAUGAAUUAUCCUUCAUAGUAUUUCUCUAUGAGAAACCAAUGUCAGCAAACUGAGUACGAAGCUGGCUUAUUGACCCGGAUUUUCUAGAAGAAGGAAAUGACAAGGACUUAAGGAUGUUCAGGUGUCGGCUUACAAGAAUAUUUAACCCAGAGCACAACCUGUUAAAUUUGUUCUUGUGUUUUGUUUACAGGAUCAGUUUAACAUGGAUAAAUGCAAAUUAAACUGGGGGCUAAUGUCGGGGAUAUACCCCGCGGUAUGGCCCGACCGGAGAUAUGACCCGGCUGGGACUUGGUGUUUCAUUGGUAAGCCGACAGAUGAUAAGUCAGACGGUAACCCGACAGAUGAUAAGUCAGACGGUAACCCGAUAGAUGAUAAGUCAGAAGGUAACCCGGCAGAUGUUAAGUCAGAUGAUAAGCCAGAUGGUAACCCGGCAGAUGUUAAGUCAGAUCAUAAGCCGGCAGAUGAUAAGCCAGAUGAUAAGUCAGAUGGUAACCCGGGAGAUGUUAAGUCAGAUGGUAAACCGGCAGACAGUCAUAACCCAGUAGACAGAGUCGCAUGGGGUUAAUAAGCCCGAGACGUUAAGAAGCCCAUGAUGUUAAGAAGCCCAUGAAGAGAAGUCAGAAUAGUUUAAGUCUUAGUCCGAGAUGGACUCUACAUGUAACCCGCCCCUUCAACUUAUAUAAGUAGGGGCAGGGCACCCCAAGAGGGGAGAGGAAUAAUCUUAAGGCUACACAUAACUAGGAGAGCCGGUUUACGGCGACUCCCUCAUGAUGAUAAUGAGACCUAGCCAAAACAGCAUGUAGGGUUGUUACCGGAUGAUGUUUCCCGGGGCCCAAAGCUGUCUAAACCCUUGUCUUGUGUGUUGAUCCAUCUCGCGUCUCUCAUCCUGAUCAACCCCUCUCAAGCUACCACAUAGAUGCGUUGGCCUCAUGACUAAGUCCUCACACUAGGACAUCUACCGUGACAAUCCCACGACAGGCAGGAUGGAGGUCAUCGCGGAGCCCACGACGGCGUCACCGCCAGAGCCUUUGGCAGGCGAAGGCCACCUUUUGUCAAAAUAGCUUGUACUAGCUAUCCCCCUUCAAAUUGGCCAUUGUGGGAUCCCUUCCCGCCUAAUAUUUGGGAGGAGGACCCGGGCCUCUAUAAAUAGGACUAGCCACCACCGUAGAAGGGAACUCAUCUUGGGUUAGAUCCAUUCCAUCCACACACAUGCACAAGCUCACCGAGCUCAAGAACACCUCUCCUCAGGAGGUGGUUCUUUCCUUGUACUUGUUCAUCCCAGCCUACAAGGCGAUCCACCACACCACACUGGAGUAGGGUAUUACACCACAUCGGUGGCCCGAACCAGUACAAACUCUUGUGUCCCUUGUUCUUCGGGUCAGCGAGCUAGGCUUUGAGAUCGUGGUGAGAGCGUGAGCUAGGGGGAGAGAGAUCUUUGUGCGCACCCCAGAGUUCGAACCUCAAGGGUUUUGCCGGAACCCAUAAUCCGACAUUUGGCGUGCUAGGUAGGGGUACGCCGAAGCCUCUCUUUCAUUAGCUGAUCCGCCGACACCCCACAGUGCCGAUGUCCGGCGACCCAAGGACCAAUGCCGACCAUUGGGCAGCUUGGCCCGUCAGGGCGGCACCGUCCGCCCAAGAAGACCUCAACUUCGCGCUCCAGACCCGUGCACCACCGAACGCCGCGGGGCGCGGGCAGCGCGGCCUGGCGCCUUCCACCCUCACACCGCGGCGCGCGCGGGCCGCCACAAGGGCCUCAAGCUACACGGUAGCGAUGGCGCCGCACACUCGACGGGAACAAGCGAACAUGCGAGCCGCGCUUAUAGUGGCACGGGAGCUGCUGCGGUGCCGACUGGCAGAGAGCGGCCGCGACACAUUGCUGGAGCGCGUCGCUGAGCUGUUGGACGCCACAACCAGGGGUACGCCGCCUUUCUGCUCCUUACCUACGCCUCAAGUUGUGGCCAGAUCACACGGUGGGUCUCGUCGCGCCCGCGUGCUCCCAGGCGCACCAGGAGGGUUCAUCGGCGUCGGCGCGGCCAAGAGUGUCGGGCACCCGGCUGCACCUGUGCUUCCCCCAGCAGGCGCAGAUACGGGCGCUGCCCCCCACGAACCCAACGGGAUGCCAUCAUACCACCACCAGGGCGGCGCGCUAGGCUCAGCGGCAUGGAGCACGGGGCGUCUCGGCGGGGGUUCCGGGGCGGCGGCUCCGGAAGCCUAUGUGCCCCACAUGGUGGAUCGAGAGUACACGCCGGAGGAUGACCCCAACUCAUUCCUUAAGUCGGGUUGGGAAGAGGAGAUGCUGGAAGUUGAGGCCUUCCAGGAGCCUCGCCGACCCCGCCAACGACAGCAACUGCAGGUACCGCUAAUUUCUCAGGAGCAGGCUUACGCUAACCAUGGGUCGCAGGUGGACCAGGUCACAGCGGUGGACGGCGACCCCAGCGCGGCAACCUCACUUCAACAGGGGAAGCACACUGGGGGCUACGCGGUAGGGGCCUGGAGCAAGGCCCCUCUUCGCGUCGCACGAAGCAAGGUGUCGCCCGGAGGUAGGUCCUCUGUCGGGGAGGCACCGGCAAGCCUUUUCCCUGGCAGAGGGCCCAUGGUCGCCGAGGGCGCCGCUCGUGUCCCCUUUUCCCCUUGGCAUCGUCCUAGUUUCCGGACGCCCCAACGGUGGUCGAGGGCGGCGCAAGGCGGGGCCCUCUUCUGGCGAUAUGAAGCAAGGCCCGCGCCUGUGAAGGUCUCCGCCCGUGACACUCUCACGUAAUAAUGAGUGGGGCUGUACACGCCCCGGAGUCUCCGGAGAGCCUCCCUCGGGCCUCGGGGGCUCCCACCCAUGUCCUAGUGGAAGCAACAUGGUCCACGCUAGCCGUCGACACUGUCCCCCAAUGACUAUGCUCACGGCCUGUGAAAGCACUUAGCUCCGUGCUGGCGGGAAGACAAGAAGACUAGCUAGGUGCCGGAUGCGGCCAUUUGCUUUCAACCCCUCUUUUUUGUAGCUCAUUUUGCCGCCUUUUCGGAUUUAAACUCGAAUUUGUAUUUUCGCUGGCAAGUGCGGGGGGCAUCUUUUGAUCGUUGCAUUGGUUUCUUGAAUUUUCUGGUCUUGCGCCUUACUUUUAAGGACCGCGCCUGCUACCCCUCCCUCACGAGCACCUUGCGAGCGGGGGCUGGGUGUGGCAUACGCGCGCAUCCUGCCGCGCUCAGGCGCUUGCUUCUCGUGAGGCCCUCUUGGGCGGACUAGCAGGCUCCUCAGGAGCCCAACACCUUGCGGCCCGCAAAGGACUCCCCUCGGGAGAAAUACACACGGGCAACCACAAGACCGGUUCGAGGUCUGUCUGGACUGAGGUAAGUUGCUACAACAAGCUAGUGGAAGAACUUAAGGACUCACAAAAGCGUGCUUUAAGUCUGGCUCAAGGGAUAAAACAAUAGUCUGGUUACAUGAGGGGCUCCCCCUUCCCAAAAAAUGCUCUCACAUCUUGAAGGGCCACGCCCAAGCUUUUGCGCGCAGGUUUAAAACGAAGGAGCGCAGGCCUAAUCAGACAUGUCGCUCGCAGCAUCUUCCGAAUCAUUCCCGGACGCGCUGCUGGCACCAUUGUCAUCGCCUAUGUCGCCCCUGCCAUCGUCAACCGCGCCGCCUUCGUCCGCCACGACCACCACCGUGUCGUCCUCGGAGACGAAGGUCCUGACCAGAGCAUCCACAUUAUCGUCCACCCAGCGUGCCAGGUUAUCCUGGAUAGCCCCGGGCACUGGGGCAAUGGCGGCGUCAAAAUCGAAGUUGGGGUUGGCAUUUUGAAGAUGGCUGAAGACACGGGAGAAUGCGUGCCCGAGGAGGCCCCGGCUCUUUUCGUCCACGAGCUCGGGAGCCCUCUCGGCCCGGUUCUCCAGGUGCGUCACGACGUCGAUGAAGAAGCGAAGGUGGCUGGCAUAGUCCUCGGCAUGGGGGUGAGGGGCGUGCUCGUCGCAGAUGGUGCCUAGCGCCUGAUUGGCCCUCGUCCUAAGGUCCCGAAGCAUGGGAGUGUGCUCGCGCAGUAACGUCUGCCAGCGGAGCGCCUCUUCCCUGCUCUGCUGCGUGAAGGACUCGGCGUUGGUAACUCGCCGCUAAAGCGGGAGCGGCUCGGCACGGGCGGAGGCCAACUCAGCCUGCAUGGAGAUCAAGGCAGCUGUUGCGGCCUUCUCGCACUGCUCCGCCUCGGGCAACCUUGACCUGAGGGCGGCGGUCCUGCCCUCCGCUUCGGCUUCCAUGAGCUUCAGCUUCAGGUCGUACCUGUUGGCAAGAUCAGCACGAGCCUCGGCCACCCUGCGGUCAACUUCCUCCUGGGUCUGGCCUCGCGCGUGCUGGCAGCGUCUUCCGCUUCGGCAACCUGGCGCUCCCUCGUCUCCAACCGCUCAAGCUCGAGGAUGCGCUCCGUGGCCUCCAGCAUCGGCGCUUCCUCGCUCCUCAAGAUCUCCUCCUCAUCAGAUGGCGCCCCAUUCAUCAACGCCAAGGCAGCUCUGCGCGCCUCCACUUGCUCCUCCAGGGAGGCAUUCACGGCCAGGAGCUCCUGCAUGCGCCUCUUGGCGACCUCGCGGCGGUGGUCUGCCUCCCUGGCCUCCUCCAAGGCCCGGGCGCUGGCCUCGUGCGAGGUUGUGGGGGAUGCCUCGGCCUUCGCGUUGUCGUGCUCGCACUGGAGGUGCCCGAGGUUGAUGGCCACCUUUAGUUGAUGCCAUUCGUCCACCAGCCGGAGACCCUCAGCUUCAAGGCGGCCGUCGACAUCCACGAGCUCUUCCCCAAGCCAGCUCAGCGCACCCAUCGCCUCCCAGAAGAGCUCGUGGCGGACGGCACCCCGCUUGUGCGUGCGCUCGAAUGCAUGACCGGGCCCAUCCCCCAUGCCAGAAGUCGUUGAAGAGGUCCGAGGUGGCUCGCCUCCUCCCAGCAGGGGGCUAGGGGCCGGUGCUUUGCCAGGCACCCUUCGGGCCCUGUUGGGAGCACAGGGGGGAAGCGGCUCGUUGCCUGGAGAAGAGGCCAGGGCUGAGGCCACCCAGCCGCGCUCGACAACCAGAGGAGGAGCCCUUGGCACACCUUCCGCACCCCAGGCAAGGCCACGAAGGAGAAACGGCAAGAACGCGGGUUCGAGGCACCAGGCUGGCGCGCUUGCCUCUCCGGCCAACCUCGCGCCAAGUGCCGCACGUUGGCUUGGGGCGCUCAAGGCCAGCAGGGGACUUGAAGCAGGAAGAGGUUGCUUCUCGGGGGUUUUCGCCGCCUUAGCAGAAGGGACCCUGAGGAGCCACAGUCAGGAGAGGAAGCGGCACUCGAGAAAUUACAAAGAUAAGGUACUCACUCGUCUAUGGCGAUAUACUUCCUCUGUUUCAGUGGCCGGAAGACAUCACCGCUGCAGCUUGGAGACCCCUUCCUCUUCCGGAGCGCGUCGAAGUUCAGCGAAGCCGGCCAAAGCCCAGGGUACGGUCACCAGCUCCGGGCGCGGCUGGGGUAGCUCCUGAGGAGGCGACCUCAGGGGUGCUGGACUGCGUGGAGACCUUGGCCUCCGCCUCGCGGCGACCCGCCGGGACCACGGGGGCUGCAGCCUUAGGAGUAUCGGGCUGCGUCGUCCCUCCGGUCGCUUCCUCAAGACGGCUCCCAAGGGGCCCACUAGGCGACCCUUCAGGAGCCCCGGGUGGCGUCGGUUCCUCAGCAGCUGCAUCGCCCGUAGGUGGCGGUGAUCGCCCCCUGCAUCCACCUCGGGGGAGGUCACCGCGCUAGCGGCGGGCAAGGGAGCCACAAAGACAGGGCUCUAGCUAGGCCCUUCAAGGCCAGCUGGGCUUAGUCACCACUCAUCAAAAGAAGGCAGCUGCUUCGCAAACUCCACCUUGUUCAAGCAACAGUACAGAAGGCAGCCCUCCUCCGGCAAGCUGGCGGGUAUUGGGUCGCCCGUCAGGAGCUUAAGCACCAUGCGCCGCGCCUCUGGAGCAAGAGCUGGCGCCUGAAGCCUCAUGCGGUCCCGGUAGCCGGAGAAGGUCCACAUCAGCUGGGAGUGGCGCUGAAGCGGAGCGAUGCGACACCGGAUGAACUCCUUCACCACCAUUGGAGCUGUCACUCCGAGACUCUUCAGCCUAGCCAGCUGGAGCCAGAUGUGGGCGAGCCGCCGGUCGGCGGACAUCGCGUGCCCCCAGCCAAGGCUUGGGACAGCCGGAGCUUGCGGGAGCUGCAGCAGGGGCUGCGCACACCAACAUCCACGAACACCCACCUCUUCCGGAAGCCUUCGACGACCGGCGAAAGCUCAAAAUCGAUCCCCGAGCCGGUUGUUGCCGCAACAGCCUGAAGGGAUACACACCCCGAGCACUGAGAAGCAUCUGUUAGGUGCAAUGAGAAGAAGUGGCGAAGCAUGGCCACGGAAGGAGCAACUCCCACCACAGCCUCGCAGACAAAGGCAAAGAUAGCAAGGAGGAGGAUGGAUUGGGGAUCGAGGUGUAGUGCAUGGAUCUGGUAAUGCGAGAGUACCGCAUUGAAGAAGCCGGAGAAGGGAGGGAUCAAACCAGCCCAGAGGGCGUGAAGAUGGAUGGUAACCUUGGUGGCCGUCCUGUCAAUCGCCACACGGGAAGCAGGCCAGGCCACCGUCGCCCCCCACUCAUAAGAAUCGGCGGCGAGCGCUGGGCGCACCUUGUCCAUCGCUUCCCGAUUGAGCACCACCGACCGUUCAAUGGCAGGCUCGGAGACCGGCACCGUGGGGACCGAGGUACGGGACUCUUUCUUCCCCUUCUUCUUUCGGCUGGGCGCCAUGGCGGCAAGGAGACUCGGUGUCAGGUCAGACGGAGGGAAGGGAUUCGCUGUCUUCUGGAAAGCGAAGGAGUUGCGGGGCGUGCUGCAGGCGAAUGGGGGCAGAGUUGUGUAGGCAGCGAUGGCUGCCUAGCCAGGCGCAAAUAGAGGCUGCGUGGGGAAGUGGAGACGCCCACGUCAUGUCAAUCGCCACGCGUCAAUCAAGGCCGCAGGCGGUUGGGGCCCGCGGCGCUCCGCACUUGCCCCUUGGCUUCGCCCUGAAGCCAAGUCCGAGCGCGCCUUGGGCCCGGGGGCUACUGUCGGCGUUCUGGGAACGGGGGUCCCCAAACUUGCCUGCCUGCGGCCCGUGGCGUGGCUCCACUAGCGGCCUGGUACGGCCCAUCUUCACCAGCAAGCACUCAAGACCCUCGCGAGGGGCCAAGCCUCGCGAGGCCGCGACACAAGACCUCCUCAGGGGCAGCCUCACUAGGCUGGCUCGCGAGGAGCGGAGAGACCAAGGCGAGGGGCACCUCGUGAGGUUCCCCUGACGUGUGCCAUGACGACCAAGGCCAGGCGGGCACCAGCGGGCGCAGAGUACUGGUUUCCUCUUUGGUGCUAAAGGAGUAGGCACAGGCGAGGAGUCCCGAGGCAUCAGGCAAAGGUUUCCAUAUCGGUGCAACGAGACCAAGACCAGCAGGACGACAGGAUGGAGGUCAUCGCGGAGCCCACGACGGCGUCACCACCAGAGCCUUUGGCAGGCAAAGAUCACCUUUUGUCAGGAUAGCUUGUACUAGUUGUCCCCCUUCAAAUUGGCCGUUGUGGGAUCCCUUCCCGCCUAAUAUUUGGGAGGAGGACCCGGGCCUCUAUAAAUAGGACUAGCCACCACCGUAGAAGGGAACUCAUCUUGGGUUAGAUCCAUUCCAUUCACACACACACAAGCUCACCGAGCUCAAGAACACCUCUCCUCAGGAGGUGGUUCUUCCCUUGUACUUGUUCAUCCCAGCCUACAAGGCAAUCCACCACACCACACUGGAGUAGGGUAUUACACCACAUCGGUGACCCGAACCAGUAUAAACUCUUGUGUCCCUUGUUCUUCGGGUCGGCGAGCUAGGCUUUGAGAUCGUGGUGAGAGCGUGAGCUAGGGGGGGAGAGAUCUUCGUGCGCACCCCAGAGUUCGAACCUCAAGGGUUUUGCCGGAACCCGUAAUCCGACAGUGGUGCGGCCCAUGGAUAAGGGCAAGGAGGUGGUGCCGCCCAUGGAGGAGGUUGUGCCAACCAAUGCUUGAGGAGGUGGCCAUGGAUGAUGACGUGGUGCCGGAGGAGCCCCCUAGCGGGAAGCGUCAGAACUAGGGGCACUACCAUGAGGAGGGUGGUCUAACUCACUUCUGCAUGAUGAUCCUUGCUCCUCAUCUUGAGUACAUCCUGAUGCCCCUGGACUUCACCAAGCACUUCCCGGCCAUGCCGACAGAGUUCAAGUUUAGGACGAACACCGACUGCUCAUGGAGGGUCACUGUCCGGCUGAUGGACGGCAGGGUCACCCUCGAUCAGGGUUGGGCCCCCUUCGCCGCAAGUCCAUCAGAUCAAGAACGACUACAUGGUGACGUUUAAGCUGCUCACUCCCGACACGCUCAAGCCCAUCGUCUUCAACAACGAAGCAUUAAAGUGGUGACCAAGACGACGCCUUCGCCUUGAAUGUCUAGGAUAACCCUUCCUAUGCUCCAGUUGGUUUAGUUUCUUAUCGUACUGCUUUGCUUUUGAACUGAUAUGUUUAAGUGUGGCACUGUAUUUAAAAUUGCCUGCUAUGGUUUACAACUAUCUUCUGUUGUGUGUGUAUGAUUUAUUCUUCACGCUGUUGUGUGUUGGUAACCUCACCACCUCGCUGAAGAGGUUACCAAACAACAUGUGUUGCAUGGAACCAAACAACAUGCAUUGUGUUUGCGCAUACACAAGCGGGCAACCAAACAGGCUACCUUUCUUUACACCCCAUGCAAGCUAGAGGGUAUGCAGGCAACCAAACUUGGUGCAUAUGUUGGUUUUUUCCUAUAUACCCUUAAACAUGCUCUGUUGAGCCAGGCUCCACGGGCCAGACUGCAACGAGAAGGCUACCAAUACGCAGGAUGCAACUGCGGUUUGCGCUUAUCGUGCUUGCAAGUGUAGUUGCACCGCGUAGAAAUAACUAAAAUCUACUCCUUCCGCUUAUUUAUUCGCGCGUGAGACUUCUUCGUACCUCGCCUUCCUCAAGAGGAAAAAAUUACUCUUUGCACCUUGCCUCGUUCUUUCAUUCCAAGACGAUUUAGUUCCAUUCUUAGGUGCGAUUAGCUCCUGGGCUUGCUCCGAGCAGCCCGUGAGAUGCCCUAGUUUUGUAUGUUUCCCACUUGUACUGUUCUGGUUUUAUGUGCGCUCGAGCUGCUAACAGAUGAAUCGAGGAAUGUUUCUAUCCCACACUCGCAUGCAGUGCAGAUACAUGGCUUUUCAAAUUCUAUAUCAUAUGAUAGGUAGCUUCUACGCAUGUCUUUAAUGGGACUCGGUUACAAACUCCAACUAUACUAUGUUGGAAAUAUGCCCUAGAGGCAAUAAUAAAAUGGUUAUUAUUGUAUUUCCUUGUUCAUGAUAAUUGUCUGUUGUUCAUGCUAUAAUUGUAUUAACUGGAAACCGUAAUACAUGUGUGAAUACAUAGACCACAACAUGUCCCUAGUAAGCCUCUAGUUGACUAGCUCGUUGAUCAAUAGAUGGUUAUGGUUUCCUGACCAUGGACAUUGGAUGUCAUUGAUAACGGGAUCACAUCAUUAGGAGAAUGAUGUGAUGGACAAGACCCAAUCCUAAGCAUAGCACAAGAUCGUGUAGUUCGUUUGCUAGAGCUUUUCUAAUGUCAAGUAUCAUUUCCUUAGACCAUGAGAUUGUGCAACUCCCGGAUACCGUAGGAAUGCUUUGGGUGUACCAAACGUCACAACGUAACUGGGUGGCUAUAAAGGUGCACUACAGGUAUCUCCGAAAGUGGCUGCUGGGUUGGCACGAAUCGAGACUGGGAUUUGUCACUCUGUAUGACGGAGAGGUAUCUCUGGGCCCACUCGGUAAUGCAUCAUCAUAAUGAGCUCAAUGUGACUAAGGAGUUAGCCACGGGAUCAUGCGUUAUGGUACGAGUAAAGUGACUUGCCGGUAACGAGAUUGAACAAGGUAUUGGGAUACCGACGAUCGAAUCUCGGGCAAGUAACGUACCGAUUGACAAAGGGAAUUGUAUACGGGAUUGAUUGAAUCCUCGACAUCGUGGUUCAUCCGAUGAGAUCAUCGUGGAACAUGUGGGAGCCAACAUGGGUAUCCAGAUCCCGUUGUUGGUUAUUGACCGGAGAGUCGUCUCGGUCAUGUCUGCAUGUCUCCCGAACCCGUAGGGUCUACACACUUAAGGUUCGGUGACGCUAGAGUUGUAGAGAUAUUAGUAUGCGGUUAACCGAAAGUUGUUCGGAGUCCCGGACAUCACGAGGAGUUCCGGAAUGGUCCGGAGGUAAAGAUUUAUAUAUGGGAAGUCCUAUUUUGGCCACCGGAAAAUGUUCGGGAUUUUUCGGUAUUGUACCGGGAAGGUUCUAGAAGGUUCCGAAGUGGGGCCCACCUGCAUGGGGGGACCCACAUGAACGUGGGUAGUGGGGGCAAGGCCCCACACCCCUGGUCAAGGCGCACCAAGAUCCCACCUUAGAAGGAAUAAGAUCAUAUCCCGAAGGGAUAAGAUCAAGAUCCCUAAAAAAGGGGGAUAACAAUCGGUGGGGAAGGGAAAUUAUGGGAUUUCUUUUCCCCACCUUUGCCAACGCCCCAAUGGACUUGGAGGGCAAGAAACCAGCCCCCUCCACCCCUAUAUAUAGUGGGGAGGCGCAUGGGAGCAGCACCCCAAGCCCUGGCGCCUCCCUCCCUCCCGUGACACCUCUUCCUCCCCGCUUGCGCAUGGCGAAGCCCUGCCGGGAUCCCGCUACUUCCACCACCACGCCGUCGUGCUGCUGGAUCUCCAUCAAUUUCUCCUCCCCCCUUGCUGGAUCAAGAAGGAGGAGACGUCCCCGCUCCGUACGUGUGUUGAACGCGGAGGUGUCGUCCGUUCGGCGCUAGGAUCAUCGGUGAUUUGGAUCACGACGAGUACGACUCCAUCAACCCCGUUCUCUUGAACGCUUCCGCGCGCGAUCUACAAGGGUAUGUAGAUGCACUCCUCUCUCUCGUUGCUAGAUGACUCCAUAGAUUGAUCUUGGUGAUACGUAGAAAAUUUUAAAUUUCUGCUACGUUCCCCAACAGUGGCAUCAAGAGCCAGGUUUAUGCGUAGAUUCUAUGCACGAGUAGAACACAAAGUAGUUGUGGGCGACGAUUUGUUCAAUUUGCUUACCGUUACUAGUCUUAUCUUGAUUCGGCGGCAUUGUGGGAUGAAGCGGCCCGGACCGACCUUACACGUACUCUUACGUGAGACAGGUUCCACCGACUGACAUGCACUUGAUGCAUAAGGUGGCUAGCGGGUGUCUGUCUCUCCCACUUUAGUUGGAUCGGAUUCGAUGAAAAGGGUCCUUAUGAAGGGUAAAUAGCAAUUGGCAUAUCACCGUUGUGGCUUUUGCGUAGGUAAGAAACGUUCUUGCUAGAAACCCAUAGCAGCCACGUAAAACAUGCAACAACAAUUAGAGGACGUCUAACUUGUUUUUGCAGGGUAUGCUAUGUGAUGUGAUAUGGCCAAAAGGAUGUGAUGAAUGAUAUAUGUGAUGUAUGAGAUUGAUCAUGUUCUUGUAAUAGGAAUCACGACUUGCAUGUCGAUGAGUAUGACAACCGGCAGGAGCCAUAGGAGUUGUCUUAAUUUAUUGUAUGACCUGCGUGUCAAUGAAAAACGCCAUGUAAUUACUUUACUUUAUUGCUAACCAUUAGCCAUAGUAGUAGAAGUAAUAGUUGGCGAGACAACUUCAUGAAGACACGAUGAUGGAGAUCAUGAUGAUGGAGAUCAUGGUGUCAUGCCGGUGACGAAGGUGAUCAUGCCGCGCCUCGAAGAUGGAGAUCAAAAGGCGCAAGAUGAUAUUGGCCAUAUCAUGUCACUUUAUGAUUUGAAUGUGAUGUUUGUCAUGUUUACAUCUUAUUUGCUUAGAACGACGGUAGCAUAAAUAAGAUGAUCCCUCACUAAAAUUUCAAGAGAUGUGUUCCCCCUAACUGUGCACCGUUGCGAAGGUUCGUUGUUUCGAAGCACCACGUGAUGAUCGGGUGUGAUAGAUUCUAACGUUCGCAUACAACGGGUGUUGACGAGCCUAGCAUGUACAGACAUGGCCUCGGAACACAAGCAAAACACUUAGGUUGACUUGACGAGCCUAGCAUGUACAGACAUGGCCUUGGAACACAAGAGACCGAAAGGUCGAAUAUGAGUCGUAUAGUAGAUACGAUCAACAUGGAGAUGUUCACCGAUGAUGACUAGUCCGUCUCACGUGAUGAUCGGACACGGCCUAGUCGAUUUGGAUCAUGUAUCACUUAGAUGACUAGAGGGAUGUCUAUCUAAGUGGGAGUUCAUUAAAUAAUCAGAUGAACUUAAUUAUCAUGAACAUAGUCAAAAGGUCUUUGCAAAUAAUGUCGUAGCUUACGCUUUAGUUCUACUAAGAUAUGUUCCUAGAGAAAAUUUAGUUGAAAGUUGAUAGUAGCAAUUAUGCGGACUGGGUCCAUAAACUGAGGAUUGUCCUCAUUGCUGCACAGAAGGCUUAUGUCCUUAAUGCACCGCUCGGUGUGCUGAACCUUGAGCGUCGUCUGUAGAUGUUACGAAACAUCUGACAUACACGUUUUGAUGACUACGUGAUAGUUCAGUGUGUGAUGCUAACAGUUUAAAAUUGUGGCACCAAAGACGGUUUUGAAACGUUGCAGAACAUAUGAGAUGUUCCAAAGACUGAAAUUGGGAUUUCAGACUAAUGCCCACGUCAAGAGGUAUGAGACCUCUGACAAGUUUCUUAAGCCUGCAAACUAAGGGAGAAAAGCUCAAUCGUUGAGCAUGUGCUCAGAUUGUCUGAGUACUACAAUCACUUGAAUCGAGUGGGAGUUAAUCUUCCAGAUGAGAUAGUGAUGGUUCUCCAUAGUCACUGCCACCAAGCUAUUAGAGCUUCGUGAUGAACUAUGACAUAUCAGGGAUAGACAUGAUGAUCCUUGAGCAACUCGCGAUGUUUGACACCGCGAAAGUAGAAAUCUAGAAGGAGCAUCAAUUGUUGAUGGUUAGUAAAACCACUAGUUUCUAGAAGGGCAAGGGCAAGAAGGGAUACUUCAUGAAACGGCAAAUCAGUUGCUGCUCUAGUGAAGAAACCCAAGGUUGAACCCAAACCCGAGACUAAGUGCUUCUGAAAUGAGGGGAGCGGUCACUGAAGCAGAACUACCCUAGAUACUUCGUAGAUGAGAAGGCUGGCAAGGUCGACAGAAGUAUAUUGGAUAUACAUUAUAUUAAUGUGUACUUUACUAGUACUCCUAGUAGCACCAGGGUAUUAGAUACCGCUUCGGUUGCUAAGUGUUAGUAACUCGAAAUAAAAGCUGCGGAAUAAACGGAGACUAGCUAAAGGUGAGAUGACGAUAUGUGUUGGAAGUGUUUCCAAGGUUGAUGUGAUCAAGCAUCGCAUGCUCCCUCUACCAUCGAGAUUGGGGUUAAACCUGAAUAAUUAUUAUUUGGUGUUUGCGUUGAGCAUAGACAUGAUUGGAUUAUGUUUAUAGCAAUACGGUUAUUCAUUAAAGGAGAAUAAUGGUUACUCUGUCUAUUUGAAUAAUACCUUCAAUGGUCUUGCACCUAAAAUGAAUGGUUUAUUGAAUCUCGAUCGUAGUGAUACACAUGUUCAUGCCAAAAGAUAUAAGAUAGUAAUGAUAGUACCACAUACUUGUGGCACUGCCACUUGAGUCAUAUUGGUAUAAAAUGCAUGAAGAAGCUCCAUGUUGAUGGAUGUUUGGACUCACUCGUUUUUGAAAAGAUUGAGACAUGCGAACCAUGUCUAUUAGUAUAUAUGCAUGAAGAAAGUCCAUACAGAUGGAUCAUUUGGACUCACUUGAUUUUGAAUCACUUGAGACAUGCAAAUCAUACCACAUGGGCAAGAUGACUGGAAGGCCUCGUUUUCAGUAAGAUGGAACAAGAGAGCAACUUGUUGGAAGUAAUACAUUUGAUGUGUGCAGUCCAAGGAAUGCUGACGCACGCAGUGGAUAUCAUUAUGUUCUUACUUCAUAGAUGAUUUGAGUAGAUGCUGAGAAUAUUUACUUGAUGAAACACAAGUCUGAAUUAUUGAAAGGUUCAAGUAAUUUCAGAGUGAAGUUGAAGAUCAUCGUGACAAGAGGAUAAAAUGUCUGUGAUAUGAUCAUAGAGAUGAAUAUCUGAGUUACGAGUUUGGCACACAAUUAAGAAAUUGUGGAAAUUGUUUCACGACUAAUACCACCUGGAACACCAUAUUGUGAUGGUGUGUCCGAACAUCAUAACUGCACCCUAUUGGAUAUGGUGCAUACCAUGAUGUCUCUUAUCGAAUUACAACUAUCGUUUAUGGGUUAGGCAUUAGAGCCAACCGCAUUCACUUUAAAUAGGGCACCACGCAAUUCCGUUGAGACGACACCGUAUGAACUAUGGUUUAGAGAAACCUAAGCUAUCGUUUCUUAAAAGUUUGGGGCUGCGACGCUUAUGUGAAAAAGUUUCAGGCUGAUAAGCUCGAACCCAAAGCGGAUAAAUGCAUCUUCAUAGAAUACCCAAAACAGUUGGGUAUACCUCCUAUUUCAGAUCUGGAAGCAAAAGUGAUUGUUUCUAGAAACGGGUCCUUUCUCGAGGAAAAGUUUCUCUCGAAAGAAUUGAGUGGGAGGAUGGUGGAGACUUGAUGAGCUCAUUGAACCGUCACUUCAACUAAUGUGUAGCAGGGCACAAGAAGUUGUUCCUGUGGCACCUACACCAAUUGAAGUGGAAGCUUAUGAUAGUGAUCAUGAAACUUCAGAUCAAGUCACUACCAAACCUCAUAGGACGACAAGGAUGCGUACUACUUCAGAGUGGUACGUAAUCCUGUCUUGGAAGUCAUGUUGCUAGACAACAAUGAACCUACGAGCUAUGGAGAAGCGAUGUGAUGGGUAACGCAGCAGAAAACAAAAAAUUUCCGACCUACGCACCAGCCCAGGACCACUAUGGAGACUGCAUACAUGGUUUGAUCUUUUUCAUUACCGACUCGUAGCGUAGCGGGAAGUAGAGUCGAUGACGAUCGGCGGUGCAGAUCCCCGCAGCUAGGAUUUACAACCUCCCAACCGCGAGGAUGUAAACCCUCAUCUGCUCCUCAGACAGCCCUCCGGGAGGCGGUCGAACAGCCCCCCGGACGGUGUCGCGGACAGCCCUUCGGGAGGACCUUUGAAACUCGAACGGUCACUCGGACAGCCCUUCGGGAGGACCUUCGAAACUCGGACGGUCACACGGACAGCCCUUCGGGAGGCACUCACGAACUAAGACCGAAACUACGAUCUCUCUACAGAGUUGCACACAUACGGUGUCAUCUAUCCGGCAGGGCUUCGCCGUCCAGAACUAGUUCCUGCCGGAACCCAGACAGCCUUACGGCUCUACGAAACUCUUUUCGUGGGAGGGAGAGAAGAAGCCAGAUAAUGCAUGGCAUGUGUAUGAGAGCAAGGGAUGAUCCUUUAGGCAGCCCCCUCCACCCCUAUUUAUAGGCCAAGCCCAAGGGUGGCUUCUCCAAGAAGCCAAGGGGGGAAAUACCAAAAAGGCCCUCAAGGUGGCUUCUCCAAGAAGCCAAGCAAAAAGCACUUUCACUAUUCAUGACGACAUUUUUCAGCGUCCGUUCGAACUGAAAAUAUUUAUGUGGGCUCAGAACAUUUCCAGUACCCACUAAAAUAAUUUUCAACGUGUUCCGAAACAAUUUCGGUUUAGUGAUUUUCAUCUGCGAAAAGCAAACAAGAAUGCGUUUUCACUAUUCAUGAAGACAAUUUUUCGCGUCCAUUAAAUCCGAAAAUAUUUCUGUGGGUCUUAGAAUAAUUCCAGUACCCACUAAAAUGAUUUUGGAUUCGUUCUGAAACAAUUUCAGAUUAGUGAAUUUCAUCUGCGAAAAACAACCAAAGCGGUACCGGCAGCUCCGAAACAUUUUCAGUUUUUAUUUCUGAAAAUUCCAAAAAGCUUCCAGAAUGAUUCUGGCAUCCUCCAAGAAUUAUCAGGCAUGUGCCAAAACCAAUUUGACUUAAUGAUGUAUCCCGAAACAACUUUUCGGUAUCAUCGAAACUUAUCCGAUGACCUCUCUCUGCGGUACGAUUCCGCUGUCCGAAACUUUUCGGUGUCCGAAACUUUUUCGGUGAUUUUCUCUCAGACUCCCUGUCUAGUAUUCAGCAGAUAGAUGACCCUUAAGCGUGUGACCCUAUAGGUUCGGUGAAGUAUAGACAUGACCCGGAACCCCUUCCGAUCAAUGAUCAACAUCGGAGCCGUGGACACCCAUAUUGACCCCUAUACCCACACGAAUAAAUAUUCGAGUGAACCUCCAGUUGCUGUGUGCUAUUCCUGUUGCUUCGCGAUAUGUUACAAAUACCCGAGGUGAGACAUGUUGGCAUUCCCGUGGAUCAACAACUUGUCCACUAUGCUAGUUACCUCGUUACCGGUUUUGUUCUCUUUUCUCGUUUCGUGUUCCGGCAUCCCCGUGAUCAAAUCACAAAGUGUCUGGCCAGACGAUGAUGGACACCGUAACACCGAGAGGGCCCGAGUAUAUCUCUCCAUCGUCGGAGGAGCAAAUCCCAAUCUCGAGCUAUCAAGUCACUUAACAUACUUUCCCAUGAACCCGUAAGCCGCCGUAAUAGCCAUCCAGUUACGGAUGACGUUUAACAAACCCCAAAGUUCAUGAAGCAAGCAUGAAGAAACACUACAACAAGACCCCCACUAUAGCAACGCCUUUUUCCGUAUCUAAAUGUCCAUAUAUGCGUUGCUAGGUUCUUUACCAACGGUUUGGGAUGCGUAGCCUUAUCCAGUGUUGCUAGCGCAUAAUGCAACGCUUAUACUAUCGUUGGUAAAAGGGUCCGUUGCAAGAGAACAACAGAUAAAACGGACUUUACAACAAUUUUAUAUGUUGGUGCUUGAUGUACAUGAAUCAAAAUCCCAUUGCUUGGCAACGGAGAAUUUCCAACGUUUCAAGUGUUGGUACAUAUAUAGUGUCAAUAAUAACAUUAUAUGUAUAUAUAAUUAUAUAUUGCUAGCAAUUAAAUUAAUGCUCCAUGUAAAGGCGAUAAUUAUGUAUUUCAAGUGAACGAAAAACAACACGAUAUACUCACGAGAGGAAGAAAUCAUAUAUUAGAUCAAAACUGUUGGAUUACAAUAGUGGAUAUUACAGGAGGAACAUCAUCCAAAUGUGAUGCAUAAUCUAACAAUUUUCUUGACAGUGAAACUUAAACUGAAAAUAUCCAUCUUAACUAAGGAACAACAUCCGACAGGAACGUCAUCCCUACAACAUAACUAAAACUAAAUGCAUCCGUCAUCAUCAUCAUGAAACGGAUCAUCGACAUCAUCAUUGCAGUAUAAUCCCCACGCUCCCAUAUACUCAUCCAUUUAUCUUUUGAAUCUACAAACAAGAAAACAAAACUGAACUGUUAACACACAAUACCUUGACAUGAUGCAAGUAGUAAUAUAGGCAAAUAUUAGUCACGUACAAAGGUUGAAGGCCAUGCAAGCUUUUAUUUUUAUGCAUUACCGAGAGUAUUGCAGUUUUGCGACUUCAUACCAAAUAUUAAGUUUGCACUAGUGCCAUAUCGACAUGCACUACCCAGAAUUCAUUUCUAAUUUCAGGACCAUCAAGUUUAAAUUUAGGAUCAGAACUUACCAUUGUAUCUAGAGCUACGCCCUUGUUAUGAUUUUUCGGGCUCUUCAAGAAUACUUUAGUUCCUGCCUGUUAGAAAAAAUAAAAGUUGCCAUAUGAGAAGACAGAAACAAAACAGGGGAACAUAUGAAAUGAAUUUGAGCACAACAGAUAGUUCAUUGGCAUCCAUCCAACUCUGGGAACCACUUCGAGCACUCUUACAGCAUGCAUUAGCACCUUAUGUUGUUUUUGUAGUCUGGACAACAGACUGAUAGCAAAGAAGUAAUAAACAACUAAAGAAGCCACAAAUAGUCUAAACAAAAUUUGUAUGUGAUUAUGAAAGGAUACCGCUUGUUUGCAACAGAAGUUUUUUCUCCCUGACAUGCACUAACAUUCUUAUUUUUAACAGCAUUUAGCAAGACGACUAGUAGAUACAUAACCAUUGGAGCAACAUAUUUUGAACAUAUUGUAUAUGGGAAUGGAUAUAUACCUUAUCUGCAGCAGAAUCUAUUUCCCUUCGCCCGUGCACUGAAAUUCUUGUCCAUUACAUAUCUGCUGCAACAUGACAAUGACCAAAAGUUUAAAUAAAUUAUGUAAAAGACAAUAUUCUGUGGUCCUACUCGACCUUAUGACAGUCAUCCCCACAGAUGUGAAGAUGAUUAAUUCAGAUUUCAGCUCAAACAAUCAUAUUUUGAAGUAAUUUCUACCCCUACAAUCAAUAAAAAUAAGUCUUACCACAUUUGUUCCUUAUCAAAUCAAAAUAGCAACUCAUUUAGUACUGAGUAGGUACUGGGAAUAAAUCAAGCUAUUCCUAUUUCAUAGUGAAAACGAUGAACUAAGACAUGAAACCGUUACUCUAAAAUGUAAAUUUGCAAGGGGUCCAUUAUUUUGUUCAUCAGGUGUAUAAGAAAAAGAGCAAGUAACAAAAUGAAACUCCAUAUAGCAGCUCUUUCAAUGACCCCAUGCUUUUUAGUUUUUUUUCUAUGCUGGGAACAUUACUAUGAAUAAAAUGCAGUUAUCUUUCGAUACUAGUAAUUUAACUGUUGAUCUAUUUCAGUUGCUUAGGGAAGAUGAACUUGUACUUGUGUGGUAUGAUGUUUAACUUGGUUUUUGCAGGGGGGAACACAUGUUCAGGUUUAACACUAUCCACGGAUAGUAAGAGGAUCAUAAGCUCAAGGACACCCAAGUUCAUUCUCUUUGGUGUUAAGGAGGUUUCCUUCAUGCACAAGCAUUAUAGCUAGGCUGAUGAGAUUUUCAAGUUGGAACUGUGAGGAGAUCCCAUGGGCCAAGGCUGAGUGUGUUGCAGAGUAUACAUGUGUUUUCACUAUCGUGCACAUGGUUGUUCACUAACAUUUAUUUUGAGAACAAGUGUGUCGUUUUGUAGACUGGACUUGUAGUUGUGCUGCUGCAGAUCAUGUUCUGAUAUUCAUAAUAAAAUUAACAUUUUUCAUUUUAUUAGGGCCUCACUAGUCGACAUGAUACUUACUGCAAUUUGUCCAUAGGUACGACCAAGAUAACACUUGUUCUAGUCACUCCAUCGUCCAUUUUCUACAAAUGACACCCCAGCCAGAAUACAAUAUGAUAGCAAUAAGAAAAUAACAAGGUCACAAAUGUCUGCACACACACGAAGAAAGAAAGAAAGAAACUAUGCUAAGAACUAACCCAACUGUACUACCCAACUAGAAUAGGAUAGUCAGAAUUGGAGGUCCAUAAAGAAAGUCUAUGAAGAGAUUGAACUCACCAAGGUAGUAAUGGUGCAGAACUACAUUGAAAUAUUGCACGCGUCCACACCUGAAACCUUAAUAGUUACUAGAUUUAAGCCACCUCUUAUGUUCAGUAAACCUAGGAACACCAAAACAAGGAGGCGUCAGGGCACUAUAAUGAAUAAAACCUAAAAAGCUAAUCUCAAUCAAGUAGGGAACGUGUAAGCUUAUAGAAGAAGAAUCUGAAACAACCCCCUCUAUCUCAAGGCCCCCAAAAUUGUGAACCAAUAACAGAGGACAGCUAUCAAACACUUGGUGUGCACUAGCAAAUUCACACAAGAGAAGAGUACUUAGAAAACAUAUAAGGGACAGAUCUGAACCAAGGGGGGAGGAGGCAAAAUCGUCAAGUCGUACUAGUAUUUACCUUGUGUUUCUAUGAAUCGGGGGUGGGGACUGAUCUGCUUUCCAUCCCAGUUGCUGAACAAGACAUGCCUCUUGUGCCCUCAACCUCAAAUCCUCAAUGAAUCGGCGGCGGCGGGGUCAGCUACGAGGUUCAGGAGGGAGGGCAGGCCAUGAUCGAUCUCCUCAAGAUAGAGAUCCUACGAGACGAGGAAGGGAACUGUGUUGAUAAGAUAUGGGGGAGGGGGAGGGGGAGGUUUCCGAUUUGACCUCCUCGCGAUGCCAGAUUUUGGUCUGCGUUCUUGAUUCGUAUGGCG